AGAGUUUGAUCAUGGCUCAGGACGAACGCUGGCGGCGUGCCUAAUACAUGCAAGUCGAGCGGGGGUGGUGAGGUAGCUUGCUAUUGAGCCACCCUAGCGGCGGACGGGUGAGUAACGCGUGGGCAACCUACCCUGUAGGCUGGGAUAACAGGUCGAAAGGCCUGCUAAUACCGGAUGAGCUCGCGGGGUCGCAUGGCCUUGUGAGGAAAGGGGAGACCCGCUACAGGAUGGGCCCGCGUCCCAUUAGCUAGUUGGUGAGGUAACGGCUCACCAAGGCGACGAUGGGUAGCCGGCCUGAGAGGGCGACCGGCCACACUGGAACUGAGACACGGUCCAGACUCCUACGGGGGGCAGCAGUAGGGAAUCUUCGGCAAUGGGCGAAAGCCUGACCGAGCGACGCCGCGUGAGGGAAGAAGGUCUUCGGAUUGUAAACCUCUGUCUAGGGGGACGAGGAAGGACGGCACCCCUGGAGGAAGCCCCGGCUAACUACGUGCCAGCAGCCGCGGUAAUACGUAGGGGGCGAGCGUUGUCCGGAAUUACUGGGCGUAAAGGGCGCGCAGGCGGCCAUGUAAGUCAGGUGUGAAAGGCCGAGGCUCAACUUCGGUUAGACGUCUGAUACUGCGUGGCUUGAGGGCAAGAAAGGGAAGUGGAAUUCCCGGUGUAGCGGUGAAAUGCGUAGAUAUCGGGAGGAACACCAGUGGCGAAGGCGGCUUCCUGGAUUGUACCUGACGCUCAUGCGCGAAAGCUGGGGGAGCGAACGGGAUUAGAUACCCCGGUAGUCCCAGCCGUAAACGAUGGAUGCUAGGUGUAGGAGGUAUCGACCCCUCCUGUGCCGCAGCUAACGCAUUAAGCAUCCCGCCUGGGGAGUACGGCCGCAAGGUUGAAACUCAAAUGAAUUGACGG
rnacentral:rRNA from 1 species